CGUGAGUAACCUGCCCUUAACUCUGGGAUAAGCCUUGGAAACGAGGUCUAAUACUGGAUAUUGACAUUUCACCGCAUGGUGGUUUGUUGAAAGAUUUAUUGGUUUUGGAUGGACUCGCGGCCUAUCAGCUUGUUGGUGAGGUAAUGGCUCACCAAGGCGACGACGGGUAGCCGGCCUGAGAGGGUGACCGGCCACACUGGGACUGAGACACGGCCCAGACUCCUACGGGAGGCAGCAGUGGGGAAUAUUGCACAAUGGGCGAAAGCCUGAUGCAGCGACGCCGCGUGAGGGAUGACGGCCUUCGGGUUGUAAACCUCUUUCAGUAGGGAACAAGGCCAGCAUUUUUGUUGGUUGAGGGUACUUGCAGAAGAAGCGCCGGCUAACUACGUGCCAGCAGCCGCGGUAAUACGUAGGGCGCAAGCGUUAUCCGGAAUUAUUGGGCGUAAAGAGCUCGUAGGCGGUUUGUCGCGUCUGCCGUGAAAGUCCGGGGCUCAACCCCGGAUCUGCGGUGGGUACGGGCAGACUAGAGUGAUGUAGGGGAGACUGGAAUUCCUGGUGUAGCGGUGAAAUGCGCAGAUAUCAGGAGGAACACCGAUGGCGAAGGCAGGUCUCUGGGCAUUAACUGACGCUGAGGAGCGAAAGCAUGGGGAGCGAACAGGAUUAGAUACCCUGGUAGUCCAUGCCGUAAACGUUGGGCACUAGGUGUGGGGGACAUUCCACGUUUUCCGCGCCGUAGCUAACGCAUUAAGUGCCCCGCCUGGGGAGUACGGCCGCAAGGCUAAACUCAAAGGAAUUGACGGGGGCCCGCACAAGCGGCGGAGCAUGCGGAUUAAUUCGAUGCAACGCGAAGAACCUUACCAAGGCUUGACAUGAACUGGAAAUACCUGGAAACAGGUGCCCCGCUUGCGUCGGUUUACAGGUGGUGCAUGGUUGUCGUCAGCUCGUGUCGUG
rnacentral:rRNA from 1 species